CUUGCUGUUUUCCUCCCUGGCUGUCUGAAGGUCUGUCGCCAUCAUGAAUGACACAGUAACUAUCCGGACCAGGAAGUUCAUGACCAACCGGCUACUUCAGAGGAAGCAGAUGAACCCAUUUUGGUGGUGGCAAGACAACUGGCUUUGGCAUGAUUUAUGAUUCCUUGGAUUAUGCAAAACAAAACAAAACAAAACAAACAAACAAACAAAAAAAAAAACGAGCCCAAACACAGACUUGCACGACAUGGCCUGUAUGAAAAGAAAAAGA